GCCGAAGUGGCGGAACUGGCAGACGCGCACGGUUCAGGGCCGUGUGCCCGUAAGGGCGUGUGGGUUCGAAUCCCACCUUCGGCA
rnacentral:tRNA from 1 species